AUUGAACGCUGGCGGCAGGCCUAACACAUGCAAGUCGAACGGUAGCACAGAGAGCUUGCUCUCGGGUGACGAGUGGCGGACGGGUGAGUAAUGUCUGGGAAACUGCCCGAUGGAGGGGGAUAACUACUGGAAACGGUAGCUAAUACCGCAUAACGUCGCAAGACCAAAGUGGGGGACCUUCGGGCCUCACACCAUCGGAUGUGCCCAGAUGGGAUUAGCUAGUAGGUGGGGUAAUGGCUCACCUAGGCGACGAUCCCUAGCUGGUCUGAGAGGAUGAGCAGCCAAGCUGGAACUGAGACACGGUCCAGACUCCUACGGGAGGCAGCAGUGGGGAAUAUUGCACAAUGGGCGCAAGCCUGAUGCAGCCAUGCCGCGUGUAUGAAGAAGGCCUUCGGGUUGUAAAGUACUUUCAGCGGGGAGGAAGGCGGUGGAGUUAAUAACUUCACCGAUUGACGUUACCCGCAGAAGAAGCACCGGCUAACUCCGUGCCAGCCGCCGCAGUAA
rnacentral:rRNA from 1 species